GUAGUAUUCCCUUCGUCCCAAAAUUCUUAUCUUACAUUUGUUUAGAUACGGAUGUAUCUAACACUAAAAUGUAACAUACAUCCGUGUUUAGACAAAUUUAAGACAAGAAUUUUGGGACGGAGGAAGUACAAA
rfam:Triticum aestivum genome assembly, contig: Triticum_aestivum_CS42_TGACv1_scaffold_129459_2BL